GGACUACCGGGGUAUCUAAUCCUGUUUGCUCCCCUAGCUUUCGCGUCUUAGCGUCAGUAGAGGCCCAGGUGCCUGCUUUCGCCAUCGGUGUUCCUCCCGAUAUCUACGCAUUUUAUCGCUACACCGGGAAUUCCAGCACCCCCUACCCCACUCGAGACGCCCAGUAUCCGCUGACCCCUCCCAGUUGAGCCGGGAGAUUUCACAGCGGACUUAGGCAUCCGCCUACACGCGCUUUACGCCUAGUGAUUCCGAGUAACGCUCGCCACCUACGUCUUACCGCGGCUGCUGGCAC
rnacentral:rRNA from 1 species